rnacentral:rRNA from 1 species
GCUUAACACAUGCAAGUCGAGGGGCAUCAGGAAGAAAGCUUGCUUUCUUUGCUGGCGACCGGCGCACGGGUGAGUAACACGUAUCCAACCUGCCCUUUACUCGGGGAUAGCCUUUCGAAAGAAAGAUUAAUACCCGAUGGCAUAAUGAUUCCGCAUGGUUUCAUUAUUAAAGGAUUCCGGUAAAGGAUGGGGAUGCGUUCCAUUAGGUUGUUGGUGAGGUAACGGCUCACCAAGCCUUCGAUGGAUAGGGGUUCUGAGAGGAAGGUCCCCCACAUUGGAACUGAGACACGGUCCAAACUCCUACGGGAGGCAGCAGUGAGGAAUAUUGGUCAAUGGGCGCUAGCCUGAACCAGCCAAGUAGCGUGAAGGAUGAAGGCUCUAUGGGUCGUAAACUUCUUUUAUAUAAGAAUAAAGUGCAGUAUGUAUACUGUUUUGUAUGUAUUAUAUGAAUAAGGAUCGGCUAACUCCGUGCCAGCAGCCGCGGUAAUACGGAGGAUCCGAGCGUUAUCCGGAUUUAUUGGGUUUAAAGGGAGCGUAGGUGGACUGGUAAGUCAGUUGUGAAAGUUUGCGGCUCAACCGUAAAAUUGCAGUUGAUACUGUCAGUCUUGAGUACAGUAGAGGUGGGCGGAAUUCGUGGUGUAGCGGUGAAAUGCUUAGAUAUCACGAAGAACUCCGAUUGCGAAGGCAGCUCACUGGACUGCAACUGACACUGAUGCUCGAAAGUGUGGGUAUCAAACAGGAUUAGAUACCCUGGCAGUCCACACAGUAAACGAUGAAUACUCGCUGUUUGCGAUAUACAGUAAGCGGCCAAGCGAAAGCAUUAAGUAUUCCACCUGGGGAGUACGCCGGCAACGGUGAAACUCAAAGGAAUUGACGGGGGCCCGCACAAGCGGAGGAACAUGUGGUUUAAUUCGAUGAUACGCGAGGAACCUUACCCGGGCUUAAAUUGCAGUGGAAUGAUGUGGAAACAUGUCAGUGAGCAAUCACCGCUGUGAAGGUGCUGCAUGGUUGUCGUCAGCUCGUGCCGUGAGGUGUCGGCUUAAGUGCCAUAACGAGCGCAACCCUUAUCUUUAGUUACUAACAGGUUAUGCUGAGGACUCUAGAGAGACUGCCGUCGUAAGAUGUGAGGAAGGUGGGGAUGACGUCAAAUCAGCACGGCCCUUACGUCCGGGGCUACACACGUGUUACAAUGGGGGGUACAGAAGGCAGCUAGCGGGUGACCGUAUGCUAAUCCCAAAAGCCUCUCUCAGUUCGGAUCGAAGUCUGCAACCCGACUUCGUGAAGCUGGAUUCGCUAGUAAUCGCGCAUCAGCCACGGCGCGGUGAAUACGUUCCCGGGCCUUGUACACACCGCCCGUCAAGCCAUGGGAGCCGGGGGUACCUGAAGUACGUAACCGCAAGGAUCGUCCUAGGGUAAAACUGGUGACUGGGGCUAAGUCG